UACAGAGGUCUCAAGCGUUGUUCGGAUUCAUUGGGCGUAAAGGGGUGCGUAGGCGGCGCGGUAAGUCGGGUGUGAAAUCUCGGAGCUUAACUCCAGAACUGCCUUUGAUACUGGCGGCCUUGAGUCCGGGAGAGGUGAGUGGAACUGCGAGUGUAGAGGUGAAAUUCGUAGAUAUUCGCAAGAACACCAGUGGCGAAGGCGGCUCACUGGCCCGGUACUGACGCUGAGGUGCGAAAGCGUGGGAGCAAACAGGG
rnacentral:rRNA from 1 species